UACGUAGGGUGCAAGCGUUGUCCGGAAUUAUUGGGCGUAAAGAGCUCGUAGGCGGUCUGUCGCGUCUGCUGUGAAAACUCAGGGCUUAACCCUGAGCUUACAGUGGGUACGGGCAGACUAGAGUGCGGUAGAGGGUAGUGGAAAUUCCCCGGUGUAGCAGUGAAAUGCGUAGAGAUCGGGAGGAACAUCCGUGGCGAAGGCGCUAGCUCUCGUGACGUGACUGACGCUGAGACGCGAAAGCGUGGGGAGCGAACAGG
rnacentral:rRNA from 1 species